CAAUAGCGUAUAUUAAAGUUGUUGCGGUUAAAAAGCUCGUAGUUGGAUUUCUGUUGAGGUCGGCCGGUCCCUACUUCGUAGGCGUAUCUGGUUCAGCCUUGGCAUCCUCCUAGGGAACGGUACUGCUCUUAACUGAGUGGUCCGGUAUCUAGGACUUUUACUUUGAGGAAAUUAGAGUGUUUACGGCAGGCAAUCGCCUUGAAUAUGUUAGCAUGGAAUAAUAAUAUAGGACCUUGGUUCUAUUUUGUUGGUUUCUAGGACUAAGGUAAUGAUUAAUAGGGAUAUUUGGGGGCAUUCGUAUUAACCGUCGAGAGGUGGAGUACUUGUAGUUCGGUUACGGUACGAACUAACUGCGAAAGACAUUGUCCAACGGAAGUGUUUUCUUAUUGUAUCAAGAAACGAAAGUUAAGGGGUAGGUCGAAGAAUGAUCAGAUACC
rnacentral:rRNA from 1 species